UAGAUGGCUUCCUUGGCCUCCCAACCAACGGUUAGACACAGCUUUGUUUUCUUUCAGUAGGCUCGGGAGCUGGUCUUCUACACUCCUGCUGCUAGGAUGCCAUGUGUUACUAGAGAGAGGUAUAUCCUGGUUAGAAGCAAGGAAAGGAACCACACCAGAAGAUCUAUUACCAUUGCAUAGACGAAGACACCAAGCAACAGUGCAGCUAAAGAACUUGCUUGAUGAUUCACAUACAGUCAGGGCAAGACAGAGCUGGGACUCGAGGAGAUGCACAGUAAACACUUUGCAACAGGGCGCUAGAUUGCAAUUAAGAGGUGGGCAACCACCCAUGCCACCCACUAUGAUGGCCCUAUCAGAAUGUGCUUUGAUGCCACUUGUAAAGAAACCGUACAUGAGCCAAGCUUCCAAAGAGAUCUUUUCUGAGAUCAGAGCUAGACUGGAGGCCAGCAAGAUCAAGCAAUCCUGUCUCUGCUCCCACAGACCUCCGGGGUCACAGGCAAGCAUAGGAUCAUGCUCAGUCCUUUCCCAGGAUUUGAACUCAGCUACUCAUGCUUGUGCAGCCUGCACUCUCCUGAAGGCCAUGUCCUCAACCCCUGAAUGGUUUCUUUCCAUCACGAGAUUAGCAAGGUUUAAUUUUUCCUUUGCUCCGAGCUAUAGACAUUUUGUCAAAUAAUGCCACCUGACUCAAGAGCUAUCAGACUCUAAAGUCUGUGUCUUCCCCAUCAAUCCCACAACAGUGAAUACAGUGUUGCUCAUGCAGUGAUGGCUGAGGCAGACCCUCCUGCUGCUGCUGUCCCUUCAGGAAUUCACUGUAAAAGGGUUUCACUGUACUUUGAAAGGCAAUUUGGAAUUCUUCACGACGAAGGUUCUGUAUAAAGGAGGUUAUAUAAUGGACUUGGCUUUCAAUUCCUUUCGGGUUAGAGCCAAGUCUUUUGGAAGAAGAGUCAUUCCAGAUGUACCAACUCUAAGCUCCAAGAAAUGUUUGUUCUGGAACAGCAGUUUUUCACACGGGCUCUUGCUAAACUGAAAAUAGACUAUGCAGGCCAACAACAUCAGGCAGACAAGACUACCGAAAUAGCCACAGGUUCCUGAUUGGUGUUCCUGACUCUUGACGGCAGGUGCCCCAGAUACCUGCAGUACUAAGAAACAAUGAGAAGAGCAGGAGACAGAUCUGCAGAAGUAGGAUUGGGCCAAAGUACGGAAACCCUCAAGUGUGAGGUGUGCAUGCCAAAAUGGUGGAAAAUAUGGACCCUGAUAGAGGAGUUGCUGACAUUUUUGGUAACCCCAUCAGACAAAACUCAUUUCAGGCGGGCCUGUGAUUUUAUUUUAUAUCCAAUUUAACACAGUCUGACCAUGAGGUAAGCGAGUCAUAAACUGAAUAAAUGAAAGAUCAUUUUACUACUUCUGAAUUCAUUGCUUCCUCUUUACUUAGUUAACCAAUAGCUGAUGCUUUGUUGUACACAUCAAAUCCUUCUUCCCAUGAUGCAAGUCUUCACAGAAGACAAAACCAAUGCAUGGAGCAGGCAAACGUCAAGGAACAGAAAUUGGUAUACUCGUAGAGCAAUGCCUUUGAAAUCUUAUGGGGAAAUUACACUCCAAAGUAGAAUCUUAUCCCAGCUAAGAAGGCCUCCUGAUGGGUCAGCAACAACUUUUCAGGCUUUAGGCAAGUUCUCGGAGCCCAUCAAUCUGCCAAUUAGAAGAAAAGGCAAAAGGACCAGCAGGAGUCACGGCUGCACGGAAACAGCUACCAUCCCAUAAAAUUAUUGCCUUUACCAAAUUGAUGGAUCUGGCAGUACACAUGUUUACAAACCUCUC
rnacentral:lncRNA from 1 species